rnacentral:miRNA from 14 species
CUUUUUUGCCUUGGUUGUGUGCUCUCCGGUCUUCUUGGGGCAGCAGCACAGCCUGGAUGUUGGGCAGAACGCCGCCCUGCGCGAUGGUCACGCGGCACAACAGCUUGUUGAGCUCCUCAUCGUUGCGGAUGGCCAGCUGCAGGUGG